CCAAACUUGGUCAUUUAGAGGAAGUAAAAGUCGUAACAAGGUUUCCGUAGGUGAACCUGCGGAAGGAUCAUUAUUGAAUAAAUCUGACAUGGUUGUAGCUGGCUCUCCGGAGCAUGUGCACGCCUGUCACCUUUAUCUUUCCACCUGUGCACACACUGUAGUCCUGGAUACCUCUCGCCGCAAGGCGGAUGCGGAGUCUGCUGUGCCUUCGAAAGAGGGUCAGCUUUCUCUGAAUUUCCAGGUCUAUGACUUUACACACCCCAAACGAAUGUUAUAGAAUGUAAUCAUCAGGCCUUGUGCCUAUAAACCUAUACAACUUUCAGCAACGGAUCUCUUGGCUCUCGCAUCGAUGAAGAACGCAGC
rnacentral:misc_RNA from 1 species